GAUGAACGCUGGCGGCGUGCCUAAUACAUGCAAGUCGAGCGAACGGACGAGAAGCUUGCUUCUCUGAUGUUAGCGGCGGACGGGUGAGUGACACGUGGAUAACCUACCUAUAAGACUGGGAUAACUUCGGGAAACCGGAGCUAAUACCGGAUAAUAUUUUGAACCGCAUGGUUCAAAAGUGAAAGACGGUCUUGCUGUCACUUAUAGAUGGAUCCGCGCUGCAUUAGCUAGUUGGUAAGGUAACGGCUUACCAAGGCAACGAUGCAUAGCCGACCUGAGAGGGUGAUCGGCCACACUGGAACUGAGACACGGUCCAGACUCCUACGGGAGGCAGCAGUAGGGAAUCUUCCGCAAUGGGCGAAAGCCUGACGGAGCAACGCCGCGUGAGUGAUGAAGGUCUUCGGAUCGUAAAACUCUGUUAUUAGGGAAGAACAUAUGUGUAAGUAACUGUGCACAUCUUGACGGUACCUAAUCAGAAAGCCACGGCUAACUACGUGCCAGCAGCCGCGGUAAUACGUAGGUGGCAAGCGUUAUCCGGAAUUAUUGGGCGUAAAGCGCGCGUAGGCGGUUUUUUAAGUCUGAUGCGAAAGCCCACGGCUCAACCGUGGAGGGUCAUUGGAAACUGGAAAACUUGAGUGCAGAAGAGGAAAGUGGAAUUCCAUGUGUAGCGGUGAAAUGCGCAGAGAUAUGGAGGAACACCAGUGGCGAAGGCGACUUUCUGGUCUGUAACUGACGCUGAUGUGCGAAAGCGUGGGGAUCAAACAGGAUUAGAUACCCUGGUAGUCCACGCCGUAAACGAUGAGUGCUAAGUGUUAGGGGGUUUCCGCCCCUUAGUGCUGCAGCUAACGCAUUAAGCACUCCGCCUGGGGAGUACGACCGCAAGGUUGAAACUCAAAGGAGUUGACGGGGACCCGCACAAGCGGUGGAGCAUGUGGUUUAAUUCGAAGCAACGCGAAGAACCUUACCAAAUCUUGACAUCCUUUGACAACUCUAGAGAUAGAGCCUUCCCCUUCGGGGGACAAAGUGACAGGUGGUGCAUGGUUGUCGUCAGCUCGUGUCGUGAGAUGUUGGGUUAAGUCCCGCAACGAGCGCAACCCUUAAGCUUAGUUGCCAUCAUUAAGUUGGGCACUCUAAGUUGACUGCCGGUGACAAACCGGAGGAAGGUGGGGAUGACGUCAAAUCAUCAUGCCCCUUAUGAUUUGGGCUACACACGUGCUACAAUGGACAAUACAAAGGGCAGCGAAACCGCGAGGUCAAGCAAAUCCCAUAAAGUUGUUCUCAGUUCGGAUUGUAGUCUGCAACUCGACUACAUGAAGCUGGAAUCGCUAGUAAUCGUAGAUCAGCAUGCUACGGUGAAUACGUUCCCGGGUCU
rnacentral:rRNA from 1 species